CCCUAAUCCCCUUCGUUUUAACAACACAAAGAAACGUCUUCUUUUCUUCUCCCUUCUCCCUAUUCUUCUUCUUUCGCUUUUGCAACAACAUCCAAAGAUUAUUAACCUGUUUUUAUAUUUACCUUAGCUUCUUCUUUGUUUUCUUUUCAGGAACAUGCUAUGAAAAAAGAGGAGCAGAUCAAUGGGCGUGAAGUCCGUGAGGAUGAAAAAGUGAACUGUGUAUGUUGAUGCCUAAUAUCGUGGAGAAAGAUACUUUUGAUGUCCGAGCGAGAUGCUGAUUGUUAAUUUUUGUGUACUUUUAGGACUGCAGGAAGGUGAUGGUAGCCUGCCUCAUUUGACUGGUGUAUUGAUGGUACUGCCUUUACAUAUUACUUGAUAUGCAAUCAUCAAUUGUCUUGGAUGCAAUGAAAUUGUUCUUUAGUUGGUAGGGUUUAGAUCAUGUGGAUGUGGCUCUUAAGAAACUUUUGCACGAGGGGAAUUGAAAAUUUGUGGGCUAACAAAAGAACAUUUCUACGAGCAAGCAUUUGUUCGUCGUGCUAGGAAAUCAUAGAAGCAAGGUGUGAGUGUGACGAGACUGAGCAUGACCUUCAACAUAAUCAAAUACAAUAGGCGAUGAUUAAUUUCUCUGAACCAAAUGGUUAACGUGGUGAACAAUAGUGAGAGACAUAUGAUGGUGAAAGCGAAGGUGACAAGCGUGAUGACGAUGAAUAAGGAUCAAGAGGCGGAGAUUGGACACCACAGUCCUCAAGAGAAUAAAGAAACAAACGUCUUCUGAUGAUUACAUGAACAUGGUUGAUGUUUCAAACGGUGCCUUCUUUUCUGUUGAAAAAUGUGGCACAAUCUGUCCCUUGGAUUAAAGGGCUGAAACUAAAGUGGUUACAUUGAUGGUGAUUUGUAGUUCAUUUUUCAAAUCUCAGUGAUCCGGAUAUCAUCAUUUUGAAUAAUUCAGGUGAUAUAGAUUAUUAUCAAUUAUCAAAUUAUUUUCUUUAGUCUCUUCUCUC